rnacentral:rRNA from 1 species
UACGUAGGGUGCGAGCGUUACUCGGAAUUACUGGGCGUAAAGCGUGCGCAGGCGGUUUUGUAAGUCAGAUGUGAAAUCCCCGGGCUUAACCUGGGAAUGGCAUUUGGGACUGCAAGGCUGGAGUGUGGCAGAGGAGACUGGAAUUCCUGGUGUAGCAGUGAAAUGCGUAGAUAUCAGGAGGAAUACCGAUGGCGAAGGCAGGUCUCUGGGCUGACACUGACGCUCAUGCACGAAAGCGUGGGGAGCAAACAGG